rnacentral:rRNA from 1 species
UACGUAGGGUGCAGGCGUUAAUCGGAAUUACUGGGCGUAAAGCGUGCGUAGACGGUUAUUUAAGUCAGAUGUGAAAGCCCCGGGCUUAACCUGGGAACUGCGUUUGAAACUGGGAGACUUGAGUGUGGCAGAGGGGGGUGGAAUUCCACGUGUAGCAGUGAAAUGCGUAGAUAUGUGGAGGAACACCGAUGGCGAAGGCAGCCCCCUGGGUUAACACUGACGCUCAUGCACGAAAGCGUGGGGAGCAAACAGG